rnacentral:rRNA from 1 species
CCUACGGGAGGCAGCAGUAGGGAAUCUUCCACAAUGGACGAAAGUCUGAUGGAGCAACGCCGCGUGAGUGAAGAAGGUUUUCGGCUCGUAAAGCCCUGUUGGUAGUGAAGAAAGAUAGAGGUAGUAACUGGCCUUUAUUUGACGGUAAUUACUUAGAAAGUCACGGCUAACUACGUGCCAGCCGCCGCUGUAAUACGUAGGUGGCAAGCGUUGUCCGGAUUUAUUGGGCGUAAAGCGAGUGCAGGCGGUUCAAUAAGUCUGAUGUGAAAGCCGUCGGCUCAACCGGAGAAUUGCAUCAGAAACUGUUGAACUUGAGUGCAGAAGAGGUGAGUGGAACUCGAGGUGUAGCGGUGGAAUGCGUAGAUAUAUGGAAGAACACCAGUGGCGAAGGCGGCUCUCUGGUCUGCAACUGACGCUGAGGCUCGAAAGCAUGGGUAGCGAACAGGAUUAGAUACCCUUGCAGUC